GCGACACCCAGAGGCAGCCCAAUUUUAUAUGUCUAAUUUAGGUAGCGAGCGCGAAAGGAACGCA
ensembl:ncRNA sncRNA:438 small non-coding RNA 438